UUGAACGCUGGCGGUAUGCUUAACACAUGCAAGUCGAACGGCAGCAUGUCUAUCCUUCGGGAUAGAUGAUGGCGAGUGGCGGACGGGUGAGUAAUAUGUAGGAAUCUGCCCUAGAGUAACGGACAACCUGAGGAAACUCAGGCUAAUACGGUAUAACCUCUAAGGAGCAAAGCUGGGGACCUUCGGGCCUGGCGCUUUAGGAUGAGCCUACAUCAGAUUAGCUAGUUGGUAGGGUAAAGGCCUACCAAGGCAACGAUCUGUAGCUGGUCUGAGAGGAUGAUCAGCCACACUGGGACUGAGACACGGCCCAGACUCCUACGGGAGGCAGCAGUGGGGAAUAUUGGACAAUGGGCGAAAGCCUGAUCCAGCAAUACCGCGUGUGUGAUGAAGGCCCUUGGGUCGUAAAGCACUUUCAAUUGUGAAGAUGGUUUAGGUGUUAAUAGCACACUAAACUGACGUUAACUUUAAAAGAAGCACCGGCUAACUCUGUGCCAGCAGCCGCGGUAAGACAGAGGGUGCGAGCGUUAAUCGGAAUUACUGGGCGUAAAGAGCACGUAGGUGGAUUUUUAAGUCAGAUGUGAAAGCCCCGGGCCUAACCUGGGAACUGCAUUUGAUACUGGAAGUCUAGAGUAUGGUAGAGGGAAGUGGAAUUUCCGGUGUAGCGGUGAAAUGCAUAGAUAUCGGAAGGAACACCAGUGGCGAAGCGGCUUCCUGGACUAAUACUGACACUGAGGUGCGAAAGCGUGGGUAGCAAACAGGAUUAGAUACCCUGGUAGUCCACGCCGUAAACGAUGAGACUAGGUGUUGGGGGCCCGUCCCCUGGUACCGCAGCUAACGCAUUAAGUUCUCCGCCUGGGGAGUACGCCGCAGGCUAAACUCAAAGGA
rnacentral:rRNA from 1 species